CUGAAGGCACGAACACAACACUUAAGUAGAUGCACACAUGGAUUUUUGUAUACAUUUUUGACCAUCUUAAGGACCAACACCACAGCAGGAGUCACCCCAUCCAGACAGCAGCCGUACCUGACAACCAGAGACGAACAUAGAAUACUACCUCACAGAAUGGAAGAAGCAGCCAACCGAGACCUCUCCUAGAUGGUCGGCGAACAGGUGGACCCCCCCCCCCCAACGAGCGGAGGAUCUUCUACAAU